AUGCCGCGGAAUCAGACCGCCGGCACGGCCUCCGGUGGAGUGCGGUCGCCGCCGAAUCAAGUCGGGGUUCGGGCGCCCUUGUCGGUGGUGCCGCCGCCGAAUCAAGUCGCCAAUUGGACCGCCGGCACGGUCUCCGGUGGACAAGCCCUGCCGAAGCAAGUCAGGAAUCGGACGCCCCCUCCGCCGCCCAAGGGUCAGACGGUCGGCGCGGCCUCCGGUGGAGUGGUGCUGCCCAAGCAAGUUGGGAAUCGGACUCCCGUCUCGCUCCCUCCGUCACCGAACCAAGUCCGAAAUCGGAGGCUCAGUUCCCUCUCCGCUGGAGAGGUGUCGCCGAGGCAAGUUGGGAAUCGGUCGCCCUUGUCGGUCCAGCUGCUGCCGAAGCAACGCAAGGAUCAUCAGACGGUCUCCACUCUCUCCCAUGUAGAGGUGCUGCCGAAGCAAGUCGGGAAUCAGACGCCCUCGUCGGUGCUGCCGAAGCAAGUCGGGAAUCAUAGGCCCUCGUCGGUGCUGCCGAAGCAAGUCGGGAAUCAGACACCCUCGUCGGUGCUGCCGCCGCUAAAGCAACACAGGGUUCAGACGGUCGGCGGCACGCUCUCCCAUGGAAAGGUGCUGCCGAAGCAAGUCAGGAAUCGGACGCCCUCAUCGGUGCUGCAUCACACGAAGCAACACAGGGGUCAGACUGUCGGCGGCACGGUAUCUGGUGCAAAGGUGCUGCAGAAGCAAGUCGGGAAGCAGACACCCUCGUCAGUGCAGCACAGGGGUCAAACCGUCGGCACGGCUUCCGGUGGAGAGGUGCUGCGGAAGCAAGUCAGGAAUUGGACGGCGGUGCUGCCACCGCUGAAGCAACACAGGGAUCAGACAGUCGGCAUGGUCUCUGGUGGAGAAUCCUCACUCCACACCCCACAACAAGGCAGACCAGCCGGUUCCUCAAAAUCUAGUGCAUGUGCCACUCUCCGCGGCAACACUAGUUUGCAUGCUCGUAAGCCAUCUGCAGCCACCAACAAAAUUAUUGAUCAAGCUAAGUCAAAGAAGAACAAGGAACUAGAAGAAGCAGAGGACGAAAUCCGAAGGCUGAACAAAUUGGGCCUGGGAGACGAUAUCAGCAACGAAGAGUAUCGUGCUUAUCUCAAACAGCUGCCUGACAAGCCUUAUGUCAAUAUUUCCACUAAGCUGGAUGCUGUGCAGCUGAAAGAGCUCAAUGCUCGCCAUGAAAUGUAUCGCAUCAAAUAUUAUCAGCUGUCACAACACGUGCCUGAGGAUAAGCUUUGCUAUGAUAAACUGAAGGAGGACUACCCACCUGGCCAUCGUCCUGUGGGGCAGAGAUCUUUUAAGUGCUCUGAGGAAGAUGGCGAAUUAGAUUGGUCUUUCCACCCUGACUACUGUAAACUUGCUGGCCUGGAGGACUACCAACGGCUGGUCCCUCGAAAUUAUGGUGGUUUUGAGUAUGUCAAUUGGGAUGAGUACCACAUGGAUUGUCAUAGCUAUGAGAUUGAACAAGAAUAUGUUAAAUUUUGUGAAGAAUUGUCGAAGAAACUUAAGUGGGGAAAGAUUUUGACCAGAGGAACUUACCAAGCAAUCAAGAUCGCUACUGACUUCUCGGAGAUAUAUGGGGGCUUAGCCUUUUCUGGCUUCUACGAGUGGUUAGAUAGCAUGGGUUUUGAUGUAUGUUGCUACAACGAGUUUGAUGGUCUAUAUUACGAGAUUUGGCAAAGGUACACGAUGGAGAAGAAAUUCAGGGAUGCUUUGUAUGAAGUCUAUGAACUUAACAUGUUCCCGUUACGCCAAGAAAGAAUGAGACGUGCACUGCAGAAUGACACAUUCUGCUCUGACUUGGAAGAGGAGUUUCUUGCUUGCACAGCUUGCCUCGAGGAAUUUGCAGAGGACAAAAGCAAGAUUUCAGAGGAUAAAGCCCGGGAGUUGAUCGCAGAGGCACUUAGAAAGGAGACGCAGAAACCGAAGUUCUAUGAGGAUUAUUGUAGGAAGAAGCUAGAUAUUGCUCAAGCUAUUGGGUUAAUUCCCAGUGUACCGUCUUAA
rnacentral:rRNA from 1 species